GACAGAGGGGGCAAGCGUUGCUCGGAAUUACUGGGCGUAAAGGGCGCGUAGGCGGAAUGGCAAGUCGGUCGUGAAAUCCUUCGGCUCAACCGAAGAACGUCGAUCGAAACUGCCGUUCUUGAGGAUUGCAGAGGAGACUGGAAUUCCCGGUGUAGCGGUGAAAUGCGUAGAUAUCUGGAGGAACACCGGUGGCGAAGGCGGCAUCCUGGACCGGCAUUGACGCUGAGG
rnacentral:rRNA from 1 species